UCAGGUACACCAACAACUGUACCACCAACCAGAUGGGGGAUGUCUUCUAAUUUUGUGAGCAAGAAGCCUUCUGAAAUUCUUAAUUCACAAGAAAUGCAACAUUUCUUUCACCCAGGCCUGCCUCUGUAUCUGUCAAAUGCAGUGACUUCAGUUGCAUUGAAAGCUAUCACUACAAUAAUCUCGCAGGCAAAGUGUACGCAUGAUGGCUUCUCGAAGAGCGGAGAUGACAGUUGUCGGGAAAUUGUUGAGAGCUUAAUCUCCAUCGUACUUCGUGCUCAGCUGACACAUUUUGAUCUGUUAAAAUGGCCGUGGUUCAUAGGGGAGACACUGCUCAAGCAUUUACACAUUUUCCAUCAUUUAGAAGUUCUCAAACUGUGGCCUGUAACUUGGAGUCCCGUCUGGGCCACUGUAGUGGAAGUGCUUCAGGGCGGCUACUGCUCAUUAAGCAACCUUGUAUCAUUCAGUAUGAGAUGUCACUGCACAGACAAGAUUCUCAUACUGAUGGUUUCCUGUACCAGACUCCAGUACCUUGAUGUGAUGUCUUCUGUCGAAGUAACAGACUUGUGUGUCAGUUCACUUCUACACCUGAACAACUUAAAAGUAAUGAAUAUGUGUAGCACAUCACUCACAGCAGUGGGCUACACUAGACUAUUAAAUGGAUUGCCACAUCUCGGCAAGUUAGUGUGGUUUGACCUGAAUAGCAAGGCACUGGGAAGCAUGAAGACUUCACCUCUCAGUCUCCUUAGUUAUGAAGCUAGCAGAGUGUCACUCAAUCAGCUGAUCAUCAUAGUUCGUAUGUGUCCAUACCUGAUACAGAUCAGUCUUCACUGGGUUGAAGCUGACCUAUCAGUUCUUGGAGAACUGAAACAACUUAAAGAAAUAAAAAUUGCACACUGUAGUGCAGUUAACAGUAAUCUGAAAGGAUUAUUAGAAGUUGUAGGUUAUAAUAUUGCAUCACUGGAACUACAUGAGAUGAAAGAUGUGGAUUUGUUGAUGAUUGGUGCUCUGUGUAUAAAUCUUAAGAGAAUGGGCUUAAUGUGUGACUUCAAGGCUUCUGAAGAAUCAUUCUUAGCUAUAAAAGAACCUCUGUUCAAAGAACUGGAAGAUCUUAGGUUUGGUUCAGAAUAUUCUGAAUGUCUGUUCUUCAGUUGCAUAAAUAUUAGGAAACUGGAGGUUUCAAAAUGUCAGAAUUUCAAUGAUCAUGUGGUGGCAGCAUUGCUGACAAGGAAUCCUCUAAAGCAGUUGGAAGUACUGUCAGUAGGUCACAGUGGACUGCUCAGUAUGAACACAGUGCAUCUCCUGUUGGAAUCCUGUGAUAAUCUUAGAGUGCUUGAGGGUUUAGAGAGUUGGGGGGGUGUUACCAAGUCACAGGUCAUGGAACUAUGCGCAGACAUGAAAAGAAAGAAUAUGGACAUUGAAAUACUGUGGAAGAAACCACUCCAAAUUAGUUGGUAGUGCUACCAGAUAUUGUCUUUAAAGGAAGGAAAACUGGUCGUCUGUUUAUGUCCAUUGAUAUAGUUACACUUAUGUUCCAACAUUGGUUGGUUUUACACACACACACACACACACAAUAACCAGCUCCUUCUAAAGAGCUCAGCUGUGCAGCAACCUCUCUUCCUUAUACCUGAUGAUGGAGAAAAUCUAAUCUGUGAAAGGUAAAUUCAUUGUAAUGGACCGAUCUGCCAUCCAAAUGUUACUAGCACAUGUCUAUUGGUGCACUGUUUAAGCACUAUGAAUAAGAAGAGGCCACAGGUAGCGGGAGAAGAAAUGUAAACAUAACUGUCGAAGAGGGAAGCACCAAUGUACACCAAAUGAAGAACAGUAUUCCAUUAAGAAGAAGCAGGAUGCAUAAUUCUGUGAAAAGUGAAAGAGGUUCCUAUCUGAAUAAGAAACAAUGGAAGAGAAUGGUACUCAGCAGAAGCAGUGUCUGUCACAGAAGAUGGGCAGCAUGACUGAAGAGUCAAAAAAUGCACAACUUGAUUCUCAUGACUUUAUACCAGAUCAGAAGCCUAACAUGGUACAGUCAUCUUGGAAACCAUUCGGCUGUGAAACAUGUGGAAAGCGAUUCACCCUGAGAGGUAGCCUCAGAACACAUGAGAAGCUCCAUGGCUUUCGCCCAACAUAUAAUUGUGAUGUGUGUGGGAAAACUUUUAAAGUAGCAACUGGACUUAAGUCUCAUGCCUCACUCCACUCUGGACAAAAACCGUUCCAUUGUGACAUAUGCGGGAAGUCUUUCACACUAAAAGGAAGUUUGAAAACACAUUCAGCUCUUCAUUCCACAGUGCAGGAAUCUUUUCCUUGUUACAUAUGUAGGAAGACAUACAAAGGAAAAGCCAGCCUCAAGUCUCACCUCGCAAUGCACACGGGAAAGAAAUCAUUUAUGUGUGAGUGAAACAACUGAUGGUGACAGCUUAGACAUCCACCCUUCCUGACAAACAGUAUUCUCGGAUCAAGAGGCACAAAGGUCUGUUCCCUCUAGUACACCUAUUGGAGACGCAAACACGAUGCCAAACAUGAAACCUGAUAUAACAGGACAACAGGUGGCUUCAUUUGACUUCUGGCAUAGGUUUCCUCAACUGUUUCAUGGUUAUGAUAUUCCUGAAGGAGUUUCAGCCAGCCAGCCUGUAGUUGCAAGAGAAUGUACAAAGAAGGAAAUAUAUGUCAGUUGUGAAUCUCCAGGCGUUGGUAUGCUGGCAGCAAGUCACAGUGAUGACAUGACAUUUUACAUAGGACAGAGCCUGGUUCACAAAUAUGGUAGAAAUAAGGCACCACUUUCUUUGCGUAGCAGACCGUUUGGCUGUGAAACUUGUGGCAAAAAGUUUACUCUUAGGGGCAGUCUCAAGACCCAUGAAAAGCUUCAUUUAUUCCGGCAGUCAUACCACUGCCAUGUGUGUGGCAAGACAUUCAAAGUGGAAGCCGGGCUCAAAGCCCACGCAGUGUUACACACAAACCACAGACCAUUUUUCUGUUUUGUAUGUGGUAAAGGUUUCACCCUCAAGGGUAGCCUAAAAACACAUCUGACACUACACUCUGUUCAUCGAGCAACUUAUCCAUGUGACAUGUGUGGGAAGACAUACAAAGGUAAAGCAAGUUAUGACUCACACAGAGCCCAGCAUUUGGGUCAGGCAUUAUAUCAGUGUGAAGUUUGUGGCAAGAAUUUUACUCUGAAGGGAAGUCUUAAGCUCCAUUCAGUGCUACACUCAGGCAUGAAGCCUUAUGCCUGUCAGAUCUGUGGGAUGGGCUUUGCAUUACGUAGUCAUCUCACACGACAUUUCCGAAUGCAUAACCCUCGAUGAAAUUGAAGCCCCAGAAUGCAGGCUUUAUAAAUGCAUUAAACAAAGUUCAUAAAGAUCCUAAGUACAAAUAACAUAAUAGCUUAAGAAUAUCAUGGCCUCAUGGCCCAGUACAAUAUAAUCAGAAAUGUAAGGCAAUUUUAAACACAUUAUUAUACCAACACAAAAUUGUUUUCGUUGUGAAAUGUUACAGUAGGAGCCUAUGGUGACAGACCUCACGUUGACAGUGCACUUGAGAUGUCAGUGAACAUUUUGAAAUGUAAAUUCUAAAGGGUUCUGAUAGUGUAUUACAUAUAUGAUUACUGGGUUAUUAGGCUUUGUUUGUUGUCUGGUAUUCCAAACAGAACAUUUUUCAGAAACAAGGUCUGUUUCCUCUUCAGGUGGAAAGGCUUGGAAGUAGAUAUAUCCAAUAGAAAGAGUUGCUCUCAGUACUGUACCUGCUUCUAACAGAAACCUCUUCUAGGUUAUGUCUGUUAACAAACAGCACUUCUCAAUUAGAAGACCUGGUUCUCAUGGACCCAGCUGAAUAGGUGAAUCCUUACUUUCUUACAUGAGGACAGAAACAGAUCCUGUUUUUUAAAUAUUAUGGCACUAUGCCAUGAAGACAUAUGAGGGAGUGGAUGUAUAGAUCCAUGUAUUCUUGACCUUGAAGAACCAUUUUUGAUACAUUUAUCAUACAUCUAUGGCCACAUAACAACAACAGACACAAGAAAAUUAACAGAUCUCUGAGAUGCACUAUUACAAUUUCUCCAUUUACAUACAUUUUAU